rnacentral:rRNA from 1 species
AACGAACGCUGGCGGCAUGCCUAACACAUGCAAGUCGAACGAAACCUUCGGGUGUAGUGGCGCACGGGUGCGUAACGCGUGGGAACAUGCACUUAGGUUCGGAAUACCUCCCCGAAAGGGGUGCUAAUGCCGGAUAGUGUCUUAGGACCAAAGAUUUAUCGCCUUUGGAUGUGCACGCGUUGGAUUCGCUCGUUGGUAGGGUAAAAGCAUAGCAAGGCGACGAUCAAUAGCUGGUCAGAGAGGAUGAUCAGCAACACCUGGACUGAGACACGGCCCAGACUCCUACGGGAGGGAGGAGUGGGUAAUAGAGCACAACGGGGUAAGUCCUGAUCCAGCAAGGCCGGGAGAGCGAUGAUGGCCGUAGGGUUGUAAUGUUCUAUUAACCGUGAUGAUAAUGACGGUACCUGGUGAAUAAGCCCCGGCUAACUCCGUG